GUUUGUGUGAGUGAAUGUGGAGCGUCUGUCUGUGUGUUUGUUCUUCUGUAUUUUCUGUUAAAACCUACACAGUGAUCUUAUUUGAUCCGACCUGAGUUUGGCUCUGCUCCGGUCGGAAAUGAUAGGAAAAGCGCUCUGCAGCCCCCCGUGGCAGUGAGCAGCCGGCGAGAAAAAAAACACGAAGGGCCUCCACGCUUCGUGCUGUGGUCAGAAGUGAUGAAUUGAUCAGAUAUACUAGUUCUGGUUGAGCCAGAGCUUUGCUUAAGGCCUCACCGUGGACAAUGAGUAUAGAGGCGAUUCUGAUCUAA